CAAAUCCUCUCCAAUUCUUACCCGUUAUGAACCGUCCGCUAUCGUCUAUAACCGUGCUCAACUGGUCACAUCCGCUGUCUAGGUUGAGGCAGGGAACAGUUUUAUCAGCCAUCCGUCAAUCGUCAUCUUAUCGUUAAGUGCUGCGAACCGUGAUCCCUGGUCGCGACAGGUAAGCCUCAUCCCGUCAGAAACAAAACCCAGGGCUACUUGAAACGCGAGAUAAGUCACCGCUUCAAUCGCAACCGUUGAUGUGCCCGGCAAGUGGUGCGUGGUAAGGUCCGUCGGCUUCUCUGUGUGAGCCGCGACUUAGUUUUGUCAGAAAGGUCCUGUUUUGACUCGUGCCGGUGUGUUCUCCUUUGAUUGCGUUUAGCCUCAGAUGGGAGAGGCGUUCCGAAUCCCCCGCUGUCCUCUCCGCCUUCCAGCCGUCAAGCGGGCGGCUCAUGGAAGCUCCCUCUUCCCAUUGGCCGGACCAACUCCAAGAACUCAACAGCGGAACCAGUUGGCCAUCCUGCUGUGAACCAAUCAGCGAUAAUAUGAAUUCCGAACUGGACAAGUCAAUCAUUUUCAUGCCUGUGAUGGAGGUUCUUCAAAGACGUCUGUGAUGCCCAUCUUGGUGUAAUGUCGAUGAUGAUGGGCCACCACUGCAUCGAUAGCUAUGAUGUCUUCCAUCUCUCCUUUUCAGACAGUCCAACUGUUUAAUAGCUGAAGUGGAUGUAUCUUUAGAUUAAUUGAAAACAUUGUUGUAUGUUUGACUACGAAGUAUCAAACAAGAUUAAAAUUGUAGGAGGAUCUGUUUGCACACGGUGAAAUAUAUUAACCUUUUCCAAGAACUACGAGCUUGUACUAAAUCUUCUCUAGGCCUCCUUUCUUGCCUAAACUGUAACUUUACUACAAUAACAUACAUAAUUGUAUAUUGAUCUGUUAUUCCUGUU